rnacentral:rRNA from 1 species
GACGAACGUUGGCGGCGUGCUUAAUACAUGCAAGUCAACUGAAGCAGUGGUAGCAAUAUCGCUGUGGAGGUGGCGCACGGGUGAGUAACACGUAGGUAAUCUGCCUUCAGGUCUGGCAUAACUCCGGGAAACCGGGGCUAAUAGCAGAUGAUGCAGCGGCUCGACAUCGAGACAGUUGUUAAAGCUAUGGCGCCUGAAGAUGAGCCUGCGUCUGAUUAGCUAGUUGGCGGGGUAACGGCCCACCAAGGCAACGAUCAGUAGCUGGUCUGAGAGGAUGAUCAGGCACACUGGAACGGAGACACGGUCCAGACUCCUACGGGAGGCAGCAGUAAGGAAUAUUGCUCAAUGGGAGAAAUACUGAAGCAGCAACGCCGCGUGAGGGACGAAGGGCUUUUGCUUGUAAACCUCUGUAGUGAGAGAAAAAAAUCCCAAUCUUUGGGACAUGAUGGUAUCUCAAAAGUAAGCCCCGGCUAACUACGUG